rnacentral:piRNA from 1 species
UAGACACAAAGAACUGUAUAUUCUGGAAGA